GCCCCAGUGGUCUAAUGGAUAAGGCACUGGCUUCCUAAACUUAGGGGUUGAGGGUUCGAGUCCCACCUGAGGUA
rnacentral:tRNA from 1 species